GACCCCCCAGCGGACUUUCCACUCCUUUGGCCACGGGGAGCCGCCAGCUCCCCACCCUCCUCCGGCGUUUCUCGGCUGACCCGCUGACCUCCCGACCCUCGCCUGCACGCGUCGGGCGGUGCGCGAGCAUUCGCGACGAGCCGAGGCCCGCGGUCUCGACGCAGCCGUGGCUUCGGGGGCGGCGGGUUCGCGCGGCCCGUCCCGGGGUCGGGGUCCGGCCGGUCGGCCGGCCGCCCGCUCGAGGGCCGCCCAGGCGAGGCGGAGACGGCAGGGGCUCCGGCCCAAGUAGGCCCGGCGAGUCUCCGCGCGGCCUGGCCUGGCCCCGUGCCCCCGCCCCGAGCCGACGGGAAGCUUAGGAAGGCGGCCCCGGGCCGGGUGCAGGAGAGCAGAGCAGAAAUCAUUUGGAAUCUCGGAAUAAUAAAACUAGAAAGAAAUUGGAGAGAACCUAUUUCCAAAGCUUUAUAAUGCACACCAAGUAAAUCUGACGCCAGAGGAUUAGCUGAAGAACAAGCUCCGUGCCGCUCCCUUCCACAUAGUAAGACUAAAGCCAAGAAAAUCAUCCAGGAAACUUACGGAUGUAGUACCGCAGGAGAGAUACAUGUCCACAUUUAAAGGUGGCUGGCUUUGAUUCUUCUUACACAUUUGGUGACUGAAGCUGCCCCCACCCCAUGACUUAAAAGUAUCGAAGAUGGAACACUUGUUCAGUGACUAAGCUAAUUCUGAAGCCUAAUGUGUUUACAUAAAGAAUGGACCAUAAUAGUAUACAUAUGAAGAAUGGCUUCUGAUUUGAAUUGUAUACGAAGAAAUGGAUCCUACUGGACUUACCACCUCAAAGGGUGAGAAGAGGUGCAUGCCACACCUUUGCAGGUGUCUCUGAAAAUACCAGGAUAAAACCUAAACUCUCACUAAAUUUCUCAACGUGACCUCACCAUGGCCGCUCACCAAUUAGACAAAUAUACUAAGAUUUUCUGUGUGGGGCUUUCCUGUUGGUCCAGUGGUUAAGAAUCCGCCUGCCAACGCAGGGGACACGGAUCCCUGGUCCUGGAAGAUCCCACAUGCAGCGGAGCAACUAAGCCUGUGCGCCAAAACUACUGAACCUGUGCGCCACAACUACUGAGCCUGCGCUCUAGAGCCUGUGAGCCACAACUACUGAAGCCCAUGCACCUAGAGCCUGUGCUCCGCAACAAGAGAAGCCACCGCAAUGAGAAGCCCACGCACUGCAACGAAGAGUAGCCCCUGCUCACCGCAACUAGAGAAAGCCCGCCCGCAGCAUCGAAG